UCUUUUUCUUUGAAUUUCCUAUUAUCUCCUGCGGUGACUUUGUCUGUUUCCCUUCCCCAUUUUGAGCGGCGAGAUCUUGGAGGCAGAGAGGAGAGGGCCAUGGCGAUUUGAGUGGUUAGCUCUGCCGCUGAUCUCCGAAGAGCGAGCCUGUGGUUGGCGUCCUUCCCCUACCCCUGUUGCUUCUCCUGCAAGCGCGUCGAGGAAGAGGGGAAGUCGACACAUGGUGAUUCCGCGGCGAUAUCUCAUCUGCCACCGUUAAUUUCGCGCCGCUCCUCCUGUUGCUGUGGUGUUCUCCGAGCCCUGUGUCUCCCUUCUUCCCCCAACGAGCCAUGAAUGUGGUGUCUUCACAUUUAAGUAUAUGGAGAUAUUCACACCAAGAACUCAGAUGGCAAACUUUUUCUCCAGUGCAGACAUUCCAAAUCUUAGGAUCAGAUAUGCGAAUGACAUGUUUUGCAGCCCCAUGAACAGUUGUGACAAGUCUUUCGUAACUGGUUUCUAUCGUGAUGGAGAAGCAAUGCCGGGUGAGGUUAAACAUGUGUGCGGUCCUAGCACAAAUGGUGGCUGAGUUCUUUUUUUAGUAGCAUGUAAUCUGAACAAAGUAGCAUGCAAUCUGAGCAUAUCAGUAUUUUUGAUUUAGUAGUGGUCUGUAUGUUUUUUCAUUUUGAUUGUAGUGUCAUGUCUUUAUGCCUGUAACUCUGCAAUACGUAUUUCGAGCAGAUUUUUGAUUCUAUAUCAAG